ACCAUACAAUGCAGUCGAGGGGCAUCGGGGAGCGAAGCUUGCUUUGCUCCGCCGGCGACCGGCGCACGGGUGACUAUCAAGUAUGCAACCUGCCCGUUUCAGCGGGAUAACCCGGACCCUUCCGGCCUAAUACCGCAUGUGGCCGAGGGGAGGCAUCUUCUUUCGGCCAAAGGAGGCGACUCCGGAGACGGAUGGGCAUGCGUGACAUUAGCUUGUUGGCGGGGUAACGGCCCACCAAGGCGACGAUGUCUAGGGGUUCUGAGAGGGCGGACGGCCACAUUGGGACUGAGACACGGCCCAGACUCCUGCGGAAGGCAGCAGUAGGGAAUUUUCGUCAAUGGGCGCAAGCCUGAACGAGCGAUGCCGCGUGAGUGAAGAAGGCCUUCGGGUCGUAAAGCUCUGUUGCGGGGGAAAAAGGCAGCAUCAGGAAAUGGGUGCUGACUGAUGGUGCCCCGCCAGAAAGUCACGGCUAACUACGUGCCAGCAGCCGCGGUAAUACGUAGGUGGCGAGCGUUAUCCGGAAUGAUUGGGCGUAAAGGGUGCGCAGGCGGUCCUGCAAGUCUGGAGUGAAACGCAUGAGCUCAACUCAUGCAUGGCUUUGGAGACUGGAGGACUGGAGAGCAGGAGAGGGCGGUGGAACUCCAUGUGUAGCGGUAAAAUGCGUAGAUAUAUGGAAGAACACCAGUGGCGAAGGCGGCCGCCUGGCCUGUUGCUGACGCUGAGGCACGAAAGCGUGGGGAGCAAAUAGGA
rnacentral:rRNA from 1 species